UACGUAGGGGGCAAGCGUUGUCCGGAUUUAUUGGGCGUAAAGAGCGUGUAGGCGGCUUUACAGGUCCGUUGUGAAAACUCGAGGCUCAACCUCGAGACGCCGGUGGAAACCGUAAAGCUAGAGUCCGGAAGAGGAGAGUGGAAUUCCUGGUGUAGCGGUGAAAUGUGCAGAUAUCAGGAGGAACACCCGUGGCGAAAGCGGCUCUCUGGGACGGUACUGACGCUGAGACGCGAAAGCGUGGGGAGCAAACAGG
rnacentral:rRNA from 1 species